GACUGCCCCUCAAAAUGUAACCCCUCACCAAGAGAAUCUUGUCUGAGAAGUUUCUGCAGAAACUUCUCUCAGAUUUGAAAAAAGAAUGGAUUGCAAAUCACUUUUGGGAUGCGGUUUAGUGAAGAAAGUGAGGAAUUGGCUAACAACAUCUUUGUCAAAUCUACGCAGUUGUGGACAAGAUUCCUUCUGAUAAUCCUGCUACUCAGACUAUUGAACAGUCUCCUGAAGGAGCUGAAAUUUAUAAAUUAUUCAUUGGCGCUUGAUAGAAAACUCAGAGACGGUCCAUUGGAGAGCAAAAGACAAUCACAGUUCAGCUGCUUCAUGUGCUUACAGAAAAGGUGCAUUUUACAUCAACCAACAAAACGCCUACUGAAGAAAGGCUGAAUUCAUGCUGUCAUAGGAAUGAAGAUCUACCAUAUCUUAUUUAAACCAUAAAUUUUGUGUGGGAUUAGGCGAACACCAAAGUGAAGAAUAAAUGAACUAUACCAUAAGUUCCACAUUAUCAAAGACUUAUUUAUCAUUGGAAGGUAUUCAAAUGUCACUUUGCAACCACUCAUUGUUUCAAGAAUACCUUUGCUAGAGAUUUCAGCCUCUCCUUGCACAACUUUUAGGUCAGGGAAUAAUUCAUUCUCUCCUGGGCUAGCCAAUGCUAUCUUUAAGUGAUUUUAUUAAAAUAUUUUGUCAUUAUCUGUUACCUUGAAAUUUCUGUUCACAAUGUAAUUGUUAUUUCCUAUAACUACACAUUUAUUAAUUUUGUCCACAUGAAAAGCUUUCCAAUGGAAUAAGGCUUAUAACUUCUUGUCUAUCAAGGCUAAGUGCCAUUGCUUUUCAAUUGUUUCUCUAUGUGAUGACAGGAAACCGCACUAUUAUUGUUUUGCUG
rnacentral:lncRNA from 1 species